AAUACUUGGUGGCGACCGGCGCACGGGUGAGUAACGCGUAUGCAACCUACCUAUCAGAGGGGAAUAACCCGGCGAAAGUCGGACUAAUACCGCAUAAAACAGGGGCACCGCAUGGUGAUAUUUGUUAAAGAAAUUCGCUGAUAGAUGGGCAUGCGUUCCAUUAGGUAGUUGGUGAGGUAACGGCUCACCAAGCCGACGAUGGAUAGGGGAACUGAGAGGUUGGUCCCCCACACUGGUACUGAGACACGGACCAGACUCCUACGGGAGGCAGCAGUGAGGAAUAUUGGUCAAUGGGCGAGAGCCUGAACCAGCCAAGUCGCGUGAAGGAAGAAGGAUCUAUGGUUCGUAAACUUCUUUUGCAGGGGAAUAAAGUGCAGGACGUGUCCUGUUUUGUAUAUACCCUGAGAAUAAGGAUCGGCUAACUCCGUGCCAGCCGCUGC
rnacentral:rRNA from 1 species